GGCGCUGCGCCAAGUCCCCGCGCGGCGGAGUAGCACGGCGGGCGGGUAGAGGCCGACGCGCGCCCAUUGGCCGGCCGGGCUGCGGGCGUCCCCGUGGCCACGUGACAAUAACACCGCUCCAGCCGGGGGCCUACGCGCGGGAGAAAGUGGAGCUGAGAUUGUAGGAAAUUCAGAGUUAUAUUUUCCAGCCUCUCCAGCCAGAAGUCUCCACUACGUCGUGGGAAACAUACAUCAAAUGGAGUUGAAAGGCAAAAGGAAGUGAUCAGCGCCACAAGAUGUUGAAACUAAUGGAGACCACAGAGAUCAUGUUCUAAGGGGCCUUCCUCCUCUGGGGUGGGAGAAGGAAUGUUCUCUGGAGAAAUCUGUAUGAUAGAAUAGUGAAGGUAACUGGCCUGAACUACAGCUCUUGAGCCAUCUGGUUUCACCUUCAGGGAGGUGCAGAGAGUGCUGGAAUGGAGGGUUAAUUGACCAUGGUGGAAAAGAGAGAAACAUUUUGAGAUUUCAAGUUAUUGUUCUGGAGAGCUGGAAGAAAAAUGAGUUACAGAUCUGAAAAAGCAGUGUGUGCGGAGCUUAACUGCUGCAUGACUGAUUGUGUGAUAUAUUGCUCUUUUCACUAAUAACCACAAAGCAGGUAGAGGCAUGGCAGACUAAUUUGGUUUAUAUGUCCAGCUGUAAGGCUAGACACUGCAUCAUUCUUUUCAGAAACCAGUGACUUUAGGCAUGUGGAACUCGUAGUCAUGACAACAAUAAACCAGCUUUGAGUCUGUGUUUCAGCUCAG